GAGAGCUGGAAUUUCUAUCACAAAAUCAAGAAUGGUUUGGAUUGGAAGGGACCUUAAAGAUCAUCUAAUUACAAACCCCCCCACCAUGGGCAGCGACACCGCUCACUAGACCAGGUUGCUCAAAGCCCCAUCCAACCUGGCCUUGAGCACUUCCAG